rnacentral:rRNA from 1 species
ACAAAGGGCAGCAAGUUCGCGAGGACAAGCAAAUCCCAUAAACCGUAGCUCAGUUCAGAUCGUAGGCCGCAACUCGCCUACGUGAAGGAGGAAUCGCUAGUAAUCGCAGGUCAGCAUACUGCGGUGAAUACGUUCCCGGGCCUUGUACACACCGCCCGUCACACCAUGGAAGUUGGCCACGCCCGAAGCCGUUACUCCAACCCUUGUGGAGGAGGACGUCGAAGGUGGGGCUGAUGACUGGGGUGAAGUCGUAACAAGGUAGCCGUACCGGAAGGUGCGGCUGGAUCACCUCCUAAC